rnacentral:lncRNA from 1 species
GAUCGGCCAAGUUCACCCCCAAUGGCAGCAGCUUCAGCAUUUCCUGGCAAUCUCCUCCGGUCACUUUCACAGGCAUCCCAGACCUCACAAAAGCUUCUUAUUGUCAACCACUGGCAUCUCCCGGAGGUUUCCAGCAAAGUCUAACGCCUUCUGUGGAACUGAUAAAAAUGAAAGUGGCUGAAUGAAUUGUGCUGUGCUCUGUUGAUGAAUAUUUAUUAAAUUCCAUAGAGGAAUAGCCAAGAA